rnacentral:tRNA from 1 species
UGCCGGAUAGCUCAAUGGUAGAGCGCGUGGCUCUGGACCACGAUGUUCCAGGUUCGAGUCCUGGUCCGGCAGCCA